rnacentral:rRNA from 1 species
ACACGUCUACAUUAGAUACCCGGGUAGUCCAGGGUGUAAACGCUGCAGACUUGGUGUUGGGGCCCUUUGGGGGCAUUCAGUGCCGGAGAGAAGUUGUUAAGUCUGCUACUUGGGAGUACGUCCGCAAGGAUGAAACUUAAAGGAAUUGGCGGGGAGCACCGCAACGGGAGGAGCGUGCGGUUUAAUCGGAUUCAACACCGUAAAACUCACCAGGGAAGACUGUUACAUGAAGGCCGAGAUGAAGACUCUGCUAGAUUUUCAG